CUAUGUAAAAAAACACUACCGAACAACCCAAACAGCGUGCACAACCGCCACUACUAAAACUCUCGCGAUUGACCCGCGCUAGGGUUCCCCUCCCAGCCACCGCCGGUGACCUCGCCAGCUGCCACCGCCGGUGACCUCGCCGGCUGCCACCGCCGGUGACCUCCCCUGCUGCCGUCGGCCCCCUCACUGGCCGCCGCAGCCCUCACAUGGCGGGAGGGUAGGCCAUCCGGCCGCUCCACCCCUGGUCGGGCCUCCCUGCCAGUAGGGCCUCACCACCGGUCGCCGGUCGGGCCUCCCUGCUGGUCGCCCCACCGCCGGUCAGGCCUCCCUGCUGGUCGCCCCAACGCCGGUCAGGCCUCCUUGCCGGUCGCCGGUCGCCGCGUUGCCUUGUUGGAUCCAGGCCGGGGCUGCGGUCUCCCCAUUCUCAGCUCGCAGGCUGGCAGGUAAAUGCAAACAGGUGACACUGACAUCAAUCUGGCGAACAAACCUCUGGAACUGCCUCGAAUUGAUUAGUCUGAUGCUGGUGCAAUCUAUGGACGUGCCUGGGUGCAGGUCAUCCACCUCUGCGGCAACAACAAGUUUGCACUAUCUGGAAAAUCGAUUGCAGCGUUUUGUAGCGUACGCAGUUGGAGAAUUAUUUUAUACGUAACUCCACUCAGUGUGUAACUGAGAUGCUCCUUCCAAGGCUCCAAAACACACACCAUCCAUCGACCCAUGAAUCAAAUAAUGUUGGAUCUUCACAUGCUCAUGGUCCUAGCUUUGUUGGCAAUAACCUUGAUGGUUCUCCACAUCUUUGAGAUCUGGUUGCCAUACGGAUGCUCUUUGGACUACGAUAUUGACAUGAAGACAUUUAUCAUAAUGUCAAAUAUUAUGUUGUAAUGCCAAAUAUUAUGACAUGGAUGUGCUAUGAUGCUAUAUAUAUAGAUGGGAUAUGGGUUAUGUUA